UACGAGAGGUGCAAACGUUAUUCGGAAUCACUGGGCGUAAAGGGUGCGUAGACGGUAUGACAAGUCAACUGUUCAAUUUUUCGGCCUAACCGGAAGUCAGCGGUAGAAACUGUCGUACUAGAGGAUGGAAGAGAGAAGUGGAAUUCUCGGAGUAGCGGUAAAAUGCGUAGAUCUCGAGAGGAACACCGAUGGCGAAGGCAGCUUCUUGGUCCAUUCCUGACGUUGAGGCACGAAAGCGUGGGGAGCAAACAGG
rnacentral:rRNA from 1 species